rnacentral:rRNA from 1 species
GAUGAACGCUAGCGGGAGGCUUAACACAUGCAAGUCGAGGGGCAGCACGAGUCCGCCGCAAGGCGGAUUUGGUGGCGACCGGCGCACGGGUGAGUAACGCGUAUGCAACCUACCCUGUACAGGGGGAUAGCCCGGAGAAAUUCGGAUUAAUACCCCAUAAAGAUAUGAAGAGGCAUCUUUUUAUAUUUAAAGUUUCGACGGUACGGGAUGGGCAUGCGUGACAUUAGCUAGUUGGUAGGGUAACGGCCUACCAAGGCUACGAUGUCUAGGGGUCCUGAGAGGGUGAUCCCCCACACUGGUACUGAGACACGGACCAGACUCCUACGGGAGGCAG